ensembl:lncRNA
GGGGUGGGCAAGAAGUCCCACCCAGGAUGUGAAGUGUCCUUGUCUCAGAGGCUGCCUGAUGCCUCUCAAAUCUCAGGUUUGGUCUUUUCUUCCUCUUAGCAUCUAGACGCCUGAGUUACUUUAAAUUCCCAGAGCUCUCAGGUCCUUUGCCUUUUGAGACCUUAUAAGCUUCCCAUUAGCUGUGUUUGUAAUUUCUCCUCUCUUCUCCAUAUCUGGCAGUGGAGAGCAUUCUGGGAAACUGUUAAAAGGGAUGGACUAUCUUUCAGUAAUCAAGAUAAAGACUGACUGAGGUAUGUAAAUCAGAAAGGAUAUAGAAAAUCCAAAUUCAUCUAAUUCUAAGUCAGUGGCCUCAGAAAUUACCUUACAUAUUGUAAUUGGACACCUCUGAAAUAAGGCAGAGGGACACUUGUCCUGUAAACACACAGGUCUUGUGGUCUUGAUGUGACAGGAUGAUAAAGACUUCUCCUGCCCUUACCCCAGGACAGUGGUGUCAGGAUCCCCAUGUUCUAAGUUCUGGGCUCCAGAGUGGGCCUGCUAUGACCUGACUUUUCUAGAAAAGUCUGUGGGUGGCAAAUUGGCCAGGACUGCCUUUGCAGGUAGACUGAGGGAGGAUACCUAAAGACAGCCAUUUUUCAACAAAGUGUCAGGAUGAAGGCUGUCCUGAGAGGACCCUGCAUGGGGAGUGCCUGCCACCACUUAACAAGGCAGCUCCACUGUGCUUACAAAUGCAGUUCAAUGCCUUUUCUACUCAGCUCUCAUGUUUUUAAAAUAUUGCAAGUGCUUUCAGUGAAUCAAUCGAUGCUUUCUAUUACCCAGGAUGCAUCUGGCAUUAUCUUACAAAGCAAAACACACAUAGCACAUGACUCAGCAUUUUCCCAAGAGGCACCAACACAUAAGUUGACACAAGAUUUGUGGAUGUCUACAAGAGUUUUAUUCAUGACGGUCCAAAUGCCAGAAACAUCUGGAUCCCAACCCACCAGGGGACACCCAGCAACUUGUAGGGUGUGCAAAUGAAGAAAUAGUGCUCAGUGGUAAAGAGGAGGAAAACCAGGGUCAUACACAGAGACAUGCACUGGCUAUCAGAGAGUCAUGCUGAAAUCAGCCACCUAGGAAGGUACAUACUGUGUUCCCAUUUGAAUGAAGUUUGGGUAGGGGCAAAGCAACUAUGGAGGCAUGGAGCCAGUGUGGGUUGCCUUAGGGUAGCCUAAGGGAGUUAAAAGCAUAAAGUAACCAAAGGAGGAGAAGCAAAUUUUCUGGGAUUAUGAAAAUAAUCAUAUCCAUAUGGAAUCAAUAUUUACAUUUCUUAAUUAGGGUACUAGAUGAAUGAGUAUAGAUAUUUAUCAAAAAAUACCCAGCUGUUUGUUUGAUGUAUUUUACUGUAUGUAUGAAUAAAUUAUAUCUUUAUAGAGUUGGUUCUUAUGAAAACUCUUUGAAAACUAUUCUCGGUACUGAGAGAUUGUUAUUGGUACUCUUGGGCUAACUUCCAUUUGGGCAAGGUCUUGAAUUUGAGAUUUUUGUGUUUUCCAAGUUGUACCCUCUGGUCAUUUCUCAUCAUCCCUUUAGUAACUCAUUGAAAUGUUUCAUGGAGACAUCGAUAGACUUAAUUGUCAAACAAUGAAUAUAUUCUAGAACAUCAAUUUGUGUGCAUGGUGACAUUGUCUUGUUCUCCAGCUGUUUUCACAAAUGGGCUGAUGCCAGUCCCUGAAGAGGCCGUUCACUUAGCAGGAGAGCACUCCAGCCACCUUUCCAAGGUCCACAUGAUGUUCACAGAGGUCAGAGAAAACUUCUGGUGUCUCGGAUUUGGCUCUUCGUUGCCCACUCCUGCUGCAUCUUGUCCAGCCGAGGGACAAAACACCCUGCCACUUCUCUGAAGAACAGGAAGAAAAGAAGUCAUGGAGGCAGAUUCCAGCACAGCCAGAGACUGAGAUGUUGAGCUCAGAGGGAGCAGGGAUCACCAAGGCACAUGCUGCCUGAAGCCCCAGGAAAGCUGGACAAGAGGCACAUUGGCCCAAGUGGUACAAGUACUAACAGUGACAUGCCAUGGACAUAGUACAGGCUGCCCAUCCAAGACCCACCAAAUGGAGGAUAGCACAGCAGAGUCUUUCUCACUUUGUAAAACCUGGCACAAGGACAGAGAAGCCGGAGCAGCAGCGUGUAUCCCAGAACUGCUAGAAAAAGCCAGAGAGGAUGACAUAUUGACUUGUGAUCAAUUGCACCAAUAGGUACUGUGAGAAGAGGCCUCACCUCCUUCAAUCCCAUUGCAUCUGGAUGCCAUUCUUCACUGUAAGCCUGAAGUCCUGCCUCAGCUGCCAACAUCCUGCUUAACAUUGCUUAUGAGGAAGUGCCCAUUUUCUCCUCCAUAUUCUGGAUUCACUCGUUAUGCAUAGCACUGGGUCAAUUUAGAUAGAAGCACCCUGAGACAUUCCUACUUCUCAGAAGCUGCCAAAUGUAUGUCACACCUGUGUCGCGUAUAACCUGGGGUCCACUUCUGACAGAUGCUGCCUCCUUGAUCAGUGAUUCUUUCCCUCAGCAAUGUGGUACCAUUCUCCCCUGCCUCAUGCAUCCCAGUUGUGACUUUGUCAGCUCCUGGUGUUUGGAUUGCAUGAAGAUGGAGAAGGAAUGGUUGGAGGAAAAACCUUAGUCUGCUUGGAGGCUGGAGCCUGGCUCCAACCUAGGCAGAAGGUCCCCAACCCCCAGCUCAUGUUCUGCCUUGUCCUCUUCCCACGACUUAGUCUUACCUUUUAUGUCUGUCCUAUCCAGGACAGUUGUACUUUAGUUUUUUCAAUUAAACAAAAUUUGGUUACUUUUUAUUAUUGCAAAGCCAUGCAUUUUGAUUAUUAUAAAAACAC